rnacentral:rRNA from 1 species
AGCGGCGGAUGGGUGAGUAACACGUGGGGAACCUGCCCCUAAGUCUGGGAUACCAUUUGGAAACAGGUGCUAAUACCGGAUAAUAAAGCAGAUCGCAUGAUCAGCUUUUGAAAGGCGGCGUAAGCUGUCGCUAAGGGAUGGCCCCGCGAUGCAUUAGCUAGUUGGUAAGGUAACGGCUUACCAAGGCGACGAUGCAUAGCCGAGUUGAGAGACUGAUCGGCCACAUUGGGACUGAGACACGGCCCAAACUCCUACGGGAGGCAGCAGUAGGGAAUCUUCCACAAUGGACGCAAGUCUGAUGGAGCAACGCCGCGUGAGUGAAGAAGGUUUUCGGAUCGUAAAGCUCUGUUGUUGGUGAAGAAGGAUAGAGGUAGUAACUGGCCUUUAUUUGACGGUAAUCAACCAGAAAGUCACGGCUAACUACGUGCCAGCAGCCGCGGUAAUACGUAGGUGGCAAGCGUUGUCCGGAUUUAUUGGGCGUAAAGCGAGCGCAGGCGGAAAAAUAAGUCUAAUGUGAAAGCCCUCGGCUUAACCGAGGAACUGCAUCGGAAACUGUUUUUCUUGAGUGCAGAAGAGGAGAGUGGAACUCCAUGUGUAGCGGUGGAAUGCGUAGAUAUAUGGAAGAACACCAGUGGCGAAGGCGGCUCUCUGGUCUGCAACUGACGCUGAGGCUCGAAAGCAUGGGUAGCGAACAGGAUUAGAUACCCUGGUAGUCCAUGCCGUAAACGAUGAGUGCUAAGUGU